GACGAACGCUGGCGGCGUGCUUAACACAUGCAAGUCGAACGAUGAAGCCGGAGCUUGCUCUGGUGAAUUAGUGGCGAACGGGUGAGUAACACGUGAGUAACCUGCCCUUGACUCUGGGAUAACUGCGGGAAACUGUAGCUAAUACCGGAUACGACCAUCGGAGGCAUCUCCUGGGGGUGGAAAGAAUUUCGGUCAAGGAUGGACUCGCGGCCUAUCAGCUAGUUGGUGAGGUAAAGGCUCACCAAGGCGACGACGGGUAGCCGGCCUGAGAGGGUGACCGGCCACACUGGGACUGAGACACGGCCCAGACUCCUACGGGAGGCAGCAGUGGGGAAUAUCGCACAAUGGGCGGAAGCCUGAUGCAGCAACGCCGCGUGAGGGAUGACGGCCUUCGGGUUGUAAACCUCUUUUAGCAGGGAAGAAGCGAAAGUGACGGUACCUGCAGAAAAAGCACCGGCUAACUACGUGCCAGCAGCCGCCGUAA
rnacentral:rRNA from 1 species